rnacentral:rRNA from 1 species
UACGUAGGGUGCGAGCGUUAAUCGGAAUUACUGGGCGUAAAGGGUGCGCAGGCGGCGUCGCAAGUCAGGCGUGAAAUCCCCGGGCUUAACCUGGGAACUGCACUUGAAACUACGAUGCUGGAGUAUGGCAGAGGGAGGUGGAAUUCCACGUGUAGCGGUGAAAUGCGUAGAGAUGUGGAGGAACACCGAUGGCGAAGGCAGCCCCUGGGCCAAUACUGACGCUCAUGCACGAAAGCGUGGGGAGCAAACAGG